GACGAACGCUGGCGGCGUGCUUAACACAUGCAAGUCGAACGGAAAGGCCCUGCUUUUGUGGGGUGCUCGAGUGGCGAACGGGUGAGUAACACGUGAGUAACCUGCCCUUGACUUUGGGAUAACUUCAGGAAACUGGGGCUAAUACCGGAUAGGAGCUCCAGCUGCAUGGUGGGGGUUGGAAAGUUUCGGCGGUUGGGGAUGGACUCGCGGCUUAUCAGCUUGUUGGUGGGGUAGUGGCUUACCAAGGCUUUGACGGGUAGCCGGCCUGAGAGGGUGACCGGCCACAUUGGGACUGAGAUACGGCCCAGACUCCUACGGGAGGCAGCAGUGGGGAAUAUUGCACAAUGGGCGGAAGCCUGAUGCAGCAACGCCGCGUGCGGGAUGACGGCCUUCGGGUUGUAAACCGCUUUCGCCUGUGACGAAGCGUGAGUAACGGUAAUGGGUAAAGAAGCACCGGCUAACUACGUG
rnacentral:rRNA from 1 species